AUGCAGCAACCUGGUAGUAAUAUCGCUCCCAACGCCCACCACUCACCACCUUCCUUGGCUCGUGCUGGGGCUAGAGCUAACUGGUCCCGCUCCGGCCACCACCUCGCCAUGCUCUCCGGCCAAUCACGUCGCCCCCGCCGUGUGAAGGCCCUCGCCAUCCCUGCACCUGGCUCCCAGGGCAUCUUCAGCGACAACACCAGCCACGAAACAAAACUAAGUUCAAUUAGGGUGGACAAGUUCUUCGAAGUGGAGAUGACCGUCCGUGACAGUGAUCUUGACCAGUAUGGAGUCGUUAACAACGCCAUUUAUGUUGCUUACAUCCACAAUGCUCGAGAGAAGCUGGCUGCGAGCAUUGGCUUCAGCAUGGCCUCCGUAGCACACACAGGCAACGCGAUGGCACUCUUGGAACUGAACCUCAAGUACUUCAAGCCUCUACUGCGAGGUACCAAAUUUGUCGUCAAGGUGAGGGUUGUCCAGAUAAAGGGUGUGAGGAUACUUGUUGAACACUUCAUGGAGACACUAUCGGAUCGUGAGCUUGUUUUGGAAGCGAUAGCGACCGUCGUCUGCCUCAACAAGGACUACCGUCCGACCCGCGUCUUCCCGGAGGUGUCAUCCAAGCUGCAGCAGUUCUUCUCAACCUAG
rnacentral:rRNA from 1 species